rnacentral:rRNA from 1 species
UACGUAGGGGGCAAGCGUUAUCCGGAUUUAUUGAGCGUAAAGAGCUCGUAGGCGGCCGUUCGCGUCGGAUGUGAAAGCUCAGGGCUCAACUCUGAGAUGCCAUUCGAUACGGGACGGCUAGAGGUAGGUAGGGGAGAGUGGAAUUCCUGGUGUAGCGGUGAAAUGCGCAGAUAUCAGGAAGAAUAUCCGUGGCGAAGGCGGCUCUCUGGGACGGUACUGACGCUGAGACGCGAAAGCGUGGGGAGCGAACAGG